rnacentral:rRNA from 1 species
UACGUAGGGUGCGAGCGUUAAUCGGAAUUACUGGGCGUAAGGCGUGCGCAGGCGGUUCGUUGUGUCGGCGGUGAAAGCCCCGGGCUUAACCUGGGAAUGGCCGUCGAAACUGGCGAACUGGAGUGUGGCAGAGGGGGGGUGGAAUUCCGCGUGUAGCAGUGAAAUGCGUAGAGAUGCGGAGGAACACCGAUGGCGAAGGCAGCCCCCUGGGCUGACACUGACGCUCAGGCACGAAAGCGUGGGGAGCAAACAGG